AUUGAACGCUGGCGGCAUGCCUUACACAUGCAAGUCGAACGGCAGCAUGAUCUAGCUUGCUCGAUUGAUGGCGAGUGGCGAACGGGUGAGUAAUACAUCGGAACGUGCCCUGUAGUGGGGGAUAACUAGUCGAAAGAUUAGCUAAUACCGCAUACGACCUGAGGGUGAAAGUGGGGGACCGCAAGGCCUCAUGCUAUAAGAGCGGCCGAUGUCUGAUUAGCUAGUUGGUGGGGUAAAGGCUCACCAAGGCGACGAUCAGUAGCUGGUCUGAGAGGACGAUGAGCCACACUGGGACUGAGACACGGCCCAGACUCCUACGGGAGGCAGCAGUGGGGAAUUUUGGACAAUGGGCGAAAGCCUGAUACAGCAAUCCCGCGUGUGUGAAGAAGGCCUUCGGGUUGUAAAGCACUUUUGUCCGGAAAGAAAUGGCUCUGGUUAAUACCUGGGGUCGAUGACGGUACCGGAAGAAUAAGGACCGGCUAACUACGUG
rnacentral:rRNA from 1 species